rnacentral:rRNA from 1 species
UACGGAGGAUGCAAGCGUUAUCCGGAAUGAUUGGGCGUAAAGCGUCCGCAGGUGGCUAUGUAAGUCUGCUGUUAAAGAGUGAGGCUCAACCUCAUAAGAGCAGUGGAAACUACAUGGCUAGAGUGCGUUCGGGGCAGAGGGAAUUCCUGGUGUAGCGGUGAAAUGCGUAGAGAUCAGGAAGAACACCGGUGGCGAAGGCGGCCUGCUGGGCAGUUGCUGACACUGAGGCGCGACAGCGUGGGGAGCAAACAGG